AUUGAACGCUGGCGGCAGGCCUAACACAUGCAAGUCGAGCGGAUGAAGGGAGCUUGCUCCUGGAUUCAGCGGCGGACGGGUGAGUAAUGCCUAGGAAUCUGCCUGGUAGUGGGGGAUAACGUCCGGAAACGGGCGCUAAUACCGCAUACGUCCUGAGGGAGAAAGUGGGGGAUCUUCGGACCUCACGCUAUCAGAUGAGCCUAGGUCGGAUUAGCUAGUUGGUGGGGUAAAGGCCUACCAAGGCGACGAUCCGUAACUGGUCUGAGAGGAUGAUCAGUCACACUGGAACUGAGACACGGUCCAGACUCCUACGGGAGGCAGCAGUGGGGAAUAUUGGACAAUGGGCGAAAGCCCGAUCCAGCCAAGCCGCGUGUGUGAAGAAGGUCUUCGGAUUGUAAAGCACUUUAAGUUGGGAGGAAGGGCAGUAAGUUAAUACCUUGCUGUUUUGACGUUACCAACAGAAUAAGCACCGGCUAACUUCGUG
rnacentral:rRNA from 1 species